rnacentral:misc_RNA from 1 species
GAAAUGCGAUAAGUAAUGCGAAUUGCAGAAUUCAGUGAAUCAUCAAAUCUUCGAACGCAAAUUGCACUCUUGUGUUGAACGAGAGUAUGCCUCUUUCAGUAUCUGUUUUCUCUUUCUUCGUCUGCUUUAUUAUAUGUGUGUGUUGUGCUUGUUUGAUUAUGAGUACGACAACAGUUAUUAUUAUAGUAGAUGAGCGAAAUGAGCGAUCUCGAAUAAUAAGAGUCGCUUGAAGAAGUAUAAGAUAUAUAUAUAGAGAGAGAGUUGGUUUCAUAAGAUGGAAGUAAUAUGACUACUACUACUUAUGAAGCACAGUCUCACUGUUGUGUGUAUAUAUAUAUAUGAAGAAAACAAAAUCCAGAUCUGAGAUGAGGUAAGAGGACCCGCUGAAUUUAA